AAAAUUUAGAAAGAAGAACCAAAGAAAGGCAAAAAAACCCCUCCUCCUUCCUCCUUUCUUUCUCCCUCGAUCUUGAUUUCCCUUCUUCAAUGGACAAAUCAAUGAACCUUAGCAGCAAUUACAGACUCCGCCACUCCUUCUCCAUCACCAAGCUCGUCUUCUGGUCCUGCAUUUUCCUCGGCUUGCUCCUCCUCUUCUUCCUCCACUCCCCUCUCUCCCACCACCACCACCGACACUCCUCCGC
rnacentral:lncRNA from 1 species